rnacentral:rRNA from 1 species
UACGUAGGGGGCAAGCCUUGUCCGGAUUUAUUGGGCGUAAAGAGCGUGUAGGCGGCUAGGUAGGUCCGUUGUGAAAACUCGAGGCUCAACCUCGAGACGCCGGUGGAAACCAUCUAGCUAGAGUCCGGAAGAGGAGAGUGGAAUUCCUGGUGUAGCGGUGAAAUGCGCAGAUAUCAGGAAGAACACCCGUGGCGAAGGCGGCUCACUGGACUGGUAUUGACGCUGAGGUGCGAAAGCGUGGGGAGCAAACAGG